rnacentral:lncRNA from 1 species
CAGCAGCAGGAGCCGUGGGGUGAGGCUGCAGCCUCCAUCCUGUCCAGGCCCUGCUCCAGCCCCUCACAGCCACCCUCGCCUGAUGAGGAGAAGCCAUCCUGGUCAAGUGACGGCUCCAGUCCUGCUUCUAGCCCCAGACAACAGUGGGGAACCCAGAAGGCCCGGAAUCUGUUCCCCGGAGGGUUUCAGGUGACCACAGACACCCAGAAGGAGCCUGACCAGGCCUCUUGCACUGACUGAGACGACUCCUCAGGGUCAGUAUUGCCUCCUGUGAGGGGAGGGAGAAAGGACGGCAUAGGUAGUUGGAGUCCGACUUGAAGCGAUGGGAGCAGUGGUGGGAAUUUGGGGUGAUGGGAGGUGGUCAUCUCUGGAAUCUAGACCCCUGGACUGCUUGCCAAGAGCCGUCUCCUCCCACAGGUACCCUGGCUUCGGCAGCCACAGGAGAUUGGAGGGUGGAGUAGAAAAACACAAGGAGUCAUUGUUAGAGGCCCCAUAGAUGACAGGCCCAGGUGCUUUAGUUGGGCAGGACCUGGGAGUCAGUGAGGAACUCGCCCCGAGAACAGAGAAAAGGUAGGAAAGGAGAGGAGAUGCUGAUGGCAUCUGGAAACAAGUCUUAGAGAUGGUCUCCACCCAGAGGGAAUAAGGGGAGACAUCCCCAACUGGAAUGUGUCCUGGAGCAGCUGCCUGGGAAGAAGUCCUCGAGUUUCCUCAAGGUGGGGGACAGAGGUCAAGGAUGAGGCCGAGCUAAAUGGAAGGGUGACAGUGAGGCAGGUGGGCUUUAAGGCUGUGGAUUCGUCAUGCUGGCGGCUGCCAGCAGCACUUUCAGGUUCCUUGGGGCUUGUAGGGGAUGGGGACUUGUCAGUGGAAAGACGGGAGGGAUGAUGUUUUUGGACUUCAGUAUGGGUGUGAUGUCUCAGGAAGUGGGUGUGGCUCCCCAUCCUGUAUAAAAUAAGCAGUAAAGCUUGCUCAUGGCUGUUGUACAUCUCUGUGACUCUUGUUUCUGGCAGGCCCCACUCCUGGCAGCUGAGUGCUGCACCUGCCUUCUUGAUCACGAGCCUGAGAACUGCACGGGGGAGCAGCCCAGACUGGCUGGAAACCAUGUUUUCAGAGUGCAGGGUCAAGCGGCGUGUAGGACUCUGUCAAAAGAAUGACCCCUUUCCCCACCACAUACCCACAACUGCACAGGUUAAAACAGAAAUCUUGUCAUUUUAUAAUUGUAAUCCACGCCGGGUGCAGUGGCUCACACCUGUAAUCCCAGCACUUUGGGAGGCUGAGGCGGGUGGAUCACGAGGUCGGGAGUUCAAGACCAGCCUGGCCAAGAUGGUGAAACCCCGUCUUUACUAAAAAUACAAAACCUAGCCGGGCGUGGUGGCAGGCACCUGUAAUCCCAACUACUUGGGAGGCUGAGGCAGGAGAAUCACUUGAACUUGUGGGGUGGAGGUUGCAGUGAGCUGAGAUCACGCCACUGCACUCCAGCCCGGGUGGCAGAGGGAGACUCCGUUUCAAAAAACAAAAAAACAAAAAAAAAAACUGUAAUCCACAUGAGCUGGGGUAGGCACUUUAGUAGUUCUCCUAACAUCUGGCACAGUCCCUUACGGUAAAUCUUCUAUAAUAAAUACUUGAUUUAGAGAUUAGACUUUACAGGUAAGAUACUCCUGAGAGAGGCAAGAGGAAUCUAACAUUCGCCUAAGAAACAGGAAGGGGGUAGCAGUAGGCCCUGGGGUACCGCUGCUGGGAGGGGCCUUCCAGAUUCGGGCGGACCCAGGCCCGAGGCAACAGGCCUAGAGAGGGAAAAGAGGCGUUUUGCUCCUUCCUGGAGGAAUAAUGCUGAAUCCUUGCAGCCUCUGGACAGAUGUGAGAAGGCACCACCUCAAGAGGGGAGGAGCGGGCCUGAUCCUGGUCGGGCGGACCUAAGUCGGGCAGCCGCUCUCCCGGAACUGGAAGGGAAAGCCAGGCGGCUCUCAGGGGCUGUUGGUGUCUGAGCCGGGAGGGUCGAACGCCCAGGGCACUGCGCCCCGCAACUGACGCUCCUGCAAGGAAAAGCUCUGGGUGCGUAUGCGGCUUGUCACCUCCUGGGUGCGCAGCGUGAGCCCGAAAAUGUCUUCGUGGUAGCGUUGCUGAUCCUGUCGGAAAAGAGCACAGUGGAUCAGAACCCGACUCAGAGACCUUAGCAGGAACCCCGCACGCUCAGGCCCGGCCCGCCCCUCCGCACCCGCAGCACGCCGAUGACGUCGCCGGCCUCGUCCAGCUCCAUGUCGCCCUCCGUCGCCAGGAUGCGCUGCACGGUCUGCAGGACGUUGGUUGCCAUGGUGACAUCGCCGCAGACAAACAUGUGGCCCCGCUCGAGGCACAGCACGCGGUGCACCUCCGCAGCCAGCUCCGUCCUCAGGAUGUCCUGCACGUUACCAUUGCGCCCUCAGAGUCUCACACCUUGGGGUUGUCAGGUUCCCGGGAGAAGGCGGUGAGGACUCGGCCAAACACCCCGCGCUGCUGGGCGUUCUGCACCUCGUCGCGGUAGAGAUGGUCAAGUUGGGAGCAUCGGCAGCCGAACACCAAAGUCAUGGGAGUGGGCUGCAGCCCUGCAAGCAACCCCACGCUUGGGAAGGCUCUUCUCCGGGGCACAGUGCUAGUGGGGCCUCCCCACAGGCCACCGUCGCCCAGCCUGGCAGCCCAGCGUUUUGGGCUGAAACCACCAUUACUUUGGCUGUUUCAUCUCUAAGAGAGUGUAGAAUGCUUUCACAGAGACCCUGCACAGCCCUGAUUUACAGAGGGAAGGGAAGGGCGGGUGAGGUGGUGGCCCCUGGUGGAGCUGCGCUAGAAUGCGCGGCUUCGGACUCAGAAUUCCGUGCCCUUUGCAUUGUGUGACAUCGCAGUCCCCUUCCCCGCUCCCACUUCAUAUUCUCCCAUACUUUUAACUCUCCUCCCAGUCACAGCCCUCUUCUUUUGAUUGACAGACCACCCUGGGCACCCCAUGCUCAAUAUGAACACCUUGUAGCAUAUCCUUAGGUCUUGGACAGACCUCGGUCAGCUCUGGCACAGUCAAGAAUCCACCUUGGGCAGUUCUUCUUUGAGUCUUAGCCCUAAUCCCUUUGAAAAUUCUAUUUUCCUUUGUCCUCAAUCCAGUCAACACCUACUAUGUACCAGGCACCAGGAAGCCAGAAACUCAGGGCCCAGCCCUUGCCUUUGGUACCUGCCCUCCCCUUGGUCUCAUGAGCCUCUUUUCAGCUUUGUGGACUUUGUUUCCUGCCCUCUCUUUCCUAUUUCCUGCCUUCCAGCCCCACCCCUCUGUCCCUAGAUUGUGUGACUCCCUUCAGGCAGUCCUUUAGUCCCCAGCCUCACCUUUGCUCUCAAUGUCAUGCAGCCGCUCCUGCCAGAAUCCCCGGAAGGGGGCAAUGCCAGUGCCUGGGCCCACUAGGAUGCAGGGCAAGCUGGGAUCGGGUGGCAGCCGGAAGGAGGGAGCCCUGGCAGGAGAGACACUCCAUCAGGUCCCCUUUGCCUUUCCUGCCCCACCAUUCUCAC